UACGUAGGGGGCAAGCGUUGUCCGGAAUCAUUGGGCGUAAAGAGCGUGUAGGUGGCUCGGUAAGUCCGCUGUGAAAGUCCAGGGCUCAACCCUGGAAAGCCGGUGGAAACUGUCGAGCUCGAGUCCGGAAGAGGCGAGUGGAAUUCCUGGUGUAGCGGUGAAAUGCGCAGAUAUCAGGAGGAACACCAAUGGCGAAGGCGGCUCUCUGGGACGGUACUGACGCUGAGACGCGAAAGCGUGGGGAGCGAACAGG
rnacentral:rRNA from 1 species